GCCUGGAUAGCUCAGUUGGUUAGGGCAUGGUGCUGAAAUGCCAAGGCUGCAAAUUCAAUCCCCUUCCCAGGGCA